rnacentral:rRNA from 1 species
AUGCGUUCCAUUAGGCAGUUGGCGGGGUAACGGCCCACCAAACCGACGAUGGAUAGGGGUUCUGAGAGGAAGGUCCCCCACAUU